AUUGAACGCUGGCGGCAUGCCUUACACAUGCAAGUCGAACGGCAGCACGGGAGCAAUCCUGGUGGCGAGUGGCGAACGGGUGAGUAAUAUAUCGGAACGUGCCCAGUCGUGGGGGAUAACGCAGCGAAAGCUGUGCUAAUACCGCAUACGAUCUACGGAUGAAAGCGGGGGAUCGCAAGACCUCGCGCGAUUGGAGCGGCCGAAAUCAGAUUAGCUAGUUGGUGAGGUAAAGGCUCACCAAGGCGACGAUCUGUAGCUGGUCUGAGAGGACGACCAGCCACACUGGAACUGAGACACGGUCCAGACUCCUACGGGAGGCAGCAGUGGGGAAUUUUGGACAAUGGGCGCAAGCCUGAUCCAGCAAUGCCGCGUGCAGGAUGAAGGCCUUCGGGUUGUAAACUGCUUUUGUACGGAACGAAACGGUGAGCUCUAAUACAGUUUGCUAAUGACGGUACCGUAAGAAUAAGCACCGGCUAACUACGUGCCAGCAGCCGCCGUAA
rnacentral:rRNA from 1 species